UUCCUACGGGCGGCUGCAGUGGGGAAUAUUGGACAAUGGGCGAAAGUCUGAUCCAGCGACGCCGCGUGGGUGAAGAAGGCCUGCGGGUUGUAAAGCCCUUUCGGUGGGGAAGAAAAGCCUCGACCUAAUACGUCGGGGUCUUGACGUAACCCAAGAAAGAAGCACCGGCUAACUCUGUGCCAGCAGCCGCGGUAAUACAGAGGGUGCGAGCGUUAAUCGGAAUUACUGGGCGUAAAGCGCGCGUAGGCGGCUGUGCAAGUCGGGUGUGAAAUCCCCAGGCUUAACCGGGGAACUGCACUCGAGACUGCAUUGCUAGAGUAUGGGAGAGGGAAGUGGAAUUGCCGGUGUAGCGGUGAAAUGCGUAGAUAUCGGAAGGAACAUCAGUGGCGAAAGCGACUUCCUGGACCAAUACUGACGCUCAUGUGCGAAAGCGUGGGGAGCAAACAGGAUUAGAUACCCUUGUAGUCCAU
rnacentral:rRNA from 1 species